rnacentral:rRNA from 1 species
UACGUAGGGCGCAAGCGUUGUCCGGAAUUAUUGGGCGUAAAGAGCUCGUAGGCGGUCUGUCGCGUCUGUUGUGAAAACUCGAGGCUCAACCUCGGGCUUGCAGUGGAUACGGGCAGACUAGAGUGCGGUAGGGGAGACUGGAAUUCCUGGUGUAGCGGUGAAAUGCGCAGAUAUCAGGAGGAACACCGGUGGCGAAGGCGGGUCUCUGGGCCGUAACUGACGCUGAGGAGCGAAAGCGUGGGGAGCAAACAGG